GUCUGACUUGGCGUUGUGGAGUCAUCCGUUUGGAUGUCCCCUAAACUUUUAGGCCACCCCCAGUAAUUUAGGGUGUCACGAAAUCAAUUCGGCACUAAAAAUGACGGGGGGCGUGCCAAAAAUUAGUGGGAAAUUCGCUAUUUUUCGAAAAUGUUUAGUGGGUAACCCCCUAAAACGCUUCCGAAAAUAGUGGGUACCCACCUAAUUUUCUCAAUUUUGGCCUCGGAUCAGGUGGGGAUACCCGCUGAACUUAAGCAUAUCAAUCAGCGGAGGAAAGAACCAACCGGGAUUGCCCCAGUAACGGCGAGUGAAGCGGCAAAAGCUCAAAUUUUAAACCUGCUAAAUUAGCCGGAUUGUAAUUUGAAGAGGAAAUGAUGGCCUAAAUUGCUCAAAAGUUCCCUGGAACGGGACGUCACAGAGGGUGAGAACCCCGUUUUGAUGCAACGGAAGCCGUAUAUCAUUCCUUCGACGAGUCGAGUUGUUUGGGAAUGCAGCUCAAAACGGGUGGUAAAUUCCAUCUAAAGCUAAUAUCGGCCGGAGACCGAUAGCGCACAAGUAGAGUGAUCGAAAGAUGAAAAGCACUUUGAAAAGAGAGUCAAAAAGCACGUGAAAUUGUUGAAAGGGAAGCGCUCGGGUUCAGACUUUGAGUCAGUAAUCCCCCUCCGAUUCGGGGGGGUAUUUGCGAACUCAAGGCCAACGUCAAUUGGGGGGAUUGGAAAAAAGCUUGCGAAAUGUGACCCUGCGGGGUGUUAUAGUCGCUUGCAAUACAAUCAUCCUCGAUUGAGGUUUAGAUGUUGGCGUAAUGACCUCGAGCGGCCCGUCUUGAAACACGGACCAAGGAGUCGACCAUCGACGCGAGUGUUUGGGUGUCAAACCCGCUCGCGAAAUGAAAGUGAACGGAGGUGGGAGCCUUAGGGUGCACCAUCGACCGAUCCUGAAGUUUACGGAAGGAUUUGAGUAAGAGCGUCGCUGGUCGGACCCGAAAAAUGGUGAGCUAUGCGUGAAUAGGGUGAAGCCAGAGGAAACUCUGGUGGAGGCUCGCAGCGGUUCUGACGUGCAAAUCGAUCGUCAAAUUUGCGUAUGGGGGCGAAAGACUAAUCGAACCAUCUAGUAGCUGGUUCCUGCCGAAG
rnacentral:rRNA from 1 species